rnacentral:rRNA from 1 species
GGAAGGAAUAUUGCACAAUGGGGGAAACCCUGAUGCAGCGACGCCGCGUGAGUGACGAAGGCCUUCGGGUCGUAAAACUCUUUUAUGUGGGAUGAGCAAGGACAGUACCACAAGAAUAAGUCUCGGCUAACUACGUGCCAGCAGCCGCGGUAAAACGUAGGAGGCGAGCGUUAUCCGGAAUUACUGGGCGUAAAGGGCAAGUAGGCGGUAGGCCAAGUUGGGCGUGACAAAUCCCGGCUUAACUGGGAGGGGUCGUCCAAAACUGGCAUACUCGAGGGCAGGAGAGGUAAGUGGAAUUCCUAGUGUAGCGGUGGAAUGCUCAGAUAUUAGGAAGAACACCAGUGGCGAAGGCGACUUACUGGCCUGUACCUGACGCUGAGAGGCGAAAGCUAGGGGAGCGAACGGGCUUAGAUACCCCUGUAGUCC